rnacentral:telomerase_RNA from 1 species
AAAUACAAUCAGCGGGUUUACGAGCAGGCACAAAGGUACUUAGAAGGUACAAGUGUGUUGUGGAACUGAAUCCUAACCUAACAAAAUCUAGGUUGAUAUCUAGGUUUAAUUGAUAGAAUUCUUCUAUCAUUGAACUAAAACUGGUCUGUUCGCCCUUCUUCCAGUAAAAACAAGUAAGUGUAUUCUCGAAACCCUUUAUUUU